CGCGCAGCCCCUCAGGCAGACGAUGGCGGGCAAGCGGGUUGAACACUAGGUGAAGAGGAUGGACGAUGAAAUACCGUCAGGACUAUUAGUGAGACGAGAGGAAGAUAGUGUUCAUUAUUGCGUGUGCUUGUGCGUUUUGAGACGUGACAAAAGUGGAAACUUAAAAAAAAUAGGGAAAGGAAAAAAACAAAAAAUACGAAGUGUAAACUUCAAGGCGUUAGUGGUAAUGAAAAGAAAAAAAGAAAAAAGAAAACAAGAGAAAAACAGGAAAACUAAAUUUCAUAGAAAAACUAAAGUAGAAACUGAAAAAGUGAAGUAGAAACAAAGAUAAACAAAAUUUCAAACUGAAAAAAAAGUGGAAAACAAACUAAGUGAAAAACGAAAGUUGUCAAGACCACCACGGCCGCCACACACACCACGGGGCACGUGGAGUCUGUAGCCUGAGCCGGACUCCCCUCACCCCGGGCCAAGGAAGCUACUGCUCAGACUUUAUCUUCCAUGGCCAGGCAGUGUCGGGACGUCCGGUGCGGGCGGGCAGGGCUCUCUCCACGGCCACCUGCUGGGCUGUGUGGGGCGGACCUGCGCCACCUUGGUCACCAGUGGAACCACGACACGACGGGAACCGGGAACCCUCUGGCCUUGCAGGUAUGGUUCCGGCGUCACGUGUGAGAGGAAAUAACAAAGGUAGGAUGCGUUUUUUUUUUCAAUUCCUUGCGUUUUGAUAUGACGUUUGGAAAAUCUUGUCGUAUGGGAGUAGAAUCGUCGUUACGUGCACAGAGAGUUGAAUAACUUGUAACAUAAUUCGACGCGUAUAAAGUAAUAAUAAUAAUAACAAUAAUGAUAAAAUCACGCUGCGUUUAGAUUGGUCACCCAUUCAUUGCAUCCGUUUUCUUCCAUCGCGAUCCAUUCCACAUCUUUAAGGGUAGUAUUAAAUAUUUUUCUCGAACAUACCCUUUUAAUUUGUUUCAUAUAAUCGGGUUGAACAGUUGUUUGCGUUAUGAUUUGAAUUGAUACGAAAUGAAACACGGAAGUUACACAUUGGAUUUUAUUAACUGCUGCUUGCCCAGAUUGAUUUUUAUUUCACAUUUUCUGGAUCAAUGGAACUAUUUGAUGAAGACGAAAGACAUGCAUUUGUGUUGCAUGUAACUACUUAAAGAGGGAAUGAUAAUGAUAUAUAAUUGUGGAGGUAUUUGAGCUUGCUUAACUCACUG